rnacentral:rRNA from 1 species
GACGAACGCUGGCGGCGUGCCUAACACAUGCAAGUCGAACGGGGUUGAGUGCUUCGGUAUUCAACUUAGUGGCGAACGGGUGAGUAACGCGUGAAGAACCUGCCUUUCAGUGGGGGACAACAGUUGGAAACGACUGCUAAUACCGCAUAAUGUGGAGAGAGGACAUCCUCUUUUCACCAAAGGAGCAAUCCGCUGUAAGAUGGGCUCGCGUCCGAUUAGCCAGUUGGCGGGGUAACGGCCCACCAAAGCGACGAUCGGUAGCCGGACUGAGAGGUUGAACGGCCACAUUGGGACUGAGACACGGCCCAGACUCCUACGGGAGGCAGCAGUAGGGAAUAUUGCACAAUGGAGGAAACUCUGAUGCAGCCAUGCCGCGUGUGUGAAGAAGGCCUCGGUUGGUAAAGU